GACGAACGCUGGCGGCGUGCUUAACACAUGCCAGUCGAACGGAAAGGCCCUGCUUUUGUGGGGUGCUCGAGUGGCGAACGGGUGAGUAACACGUGAGUAACCUGCCCGUUCCUUUGGGAUAACUUCAGGAAACUGGGGCUAAUACCGGAUAGGAGCUCCUGCUGCAUGGUGUGGGUUGGAAAGUUUCGGCGGUUGUGGAUGGACUCGCGGCUUAUCAGCUUGUCGGUGGGGUAGUUGCUUACCAAGGCUGUGACGGGUAGCCGGACUGAGAGGGUGCCCGGCCACAUUGGGACUGAGAUAAGGCCCAGAAUCAUACGGGAGGAAGCAGUGGGGAAUAGUGGACUAUGGGCGGAAGCCUGAUGCAGCAACGACGCGUGCGGGAUGACGGCCUUCGGGUUGUAAACAGCUUUCGCCUGUGACGAAGCGGGAGUGACGGUAAUGGGUAAAGAAGCACCGGCUAACUACGUG
rnacentral:rRNA from 1 species